UUGGCGGUGCGCUUAUGCAUGCAUGUCGAGCGAAGCUUUUCAGUAGUUUACUACAGAAAAUGACUGAGCGGUGAACGGGUGAGUAACACGUGAGCAAGUCUACCUCUAGUUACAGGGCAUAGCCCGAGUGAAACUCGCGAUUAAUACCUGGAUAUUCUUUAUUUCUCGGCAUGAGAAUAACAGGAAAGGUCCGGCGAACUAAGAUGAGCUCGCGUUCUAUCAAGCUAGUUGGGUGAGGUAAAAGCUCACCAAGGGCUACGAACGGAUAGCUGGUCUGAGAGGACGAUCAGCCACACUGGGACUGAGACACGGUCCAGACUCCUACGGGAGGCUGCAGCAGGGAAUAUUGCGCAAUGAGCGAAAGCUUGACGCAGCGACACCGCGUGUGGGAUGACGGAUCUAGGUUUGUAAACCACUUUCAGGAGGGAAGAAAAUGACGGUACCUCCACAAGAAGCCCCGGCCAACUACGUGCCAGCAGCCGCGGUAAUACGUAUGGGGCGAGCGUUGUCCGGAUUUAUUGGGCGUAAAGAGCUCGUAGGCGGUUCAACAAGUCGGUCGUGACAGUUCAGGGCUCAACCCUGAAAUGUCGAUCGAUACUGUUGUGACUAGGAUACGGUAGAGGUGAGUGGAAUUCCGAGUGUAGCGGUGAACUGCAUAGAUAUGACACAGAACGCCAAUUGCGAACGCAGCUUAUAAGCCAUGAUUGCGGCUGAGGCCGC
rnacentral:rRNA from 1 species